UACGGGGGGGGCAAGCGUUGUUCGGAAUUACUGGGCGUAAAGGGCUCGUAGGUGGCCAACUAAGUCAUACGUGAAAUCCCUCGGCUUAAUCGGGGAACUGCGUCUGAUACUGGAUGGCUUGAGGUUGGGAGAGGGAUGCGGAAUUCCAGGUGUAGCGGUGAAAUGCGUAGAUAUCUGGAGGAACACCGGUGGCGAAGGCGGGUCUCUGGGCCGAUACUGACGCUGAGGAGCGAAAGCGUGGGGAGCGAACAGG
rnacentral:rRNA from 1 species